rnacentral:lncRNA from 1 species
CUAGAUGUAGUACUCAAUGAUCCAAAUAUAAUACUUGCAUGAGUAGUUAGGGAUACCACAACCUAAGGAGCUUUCAUUUGUUAUUUUCUUGUAUAAUUUCAGUAGGCUUUAAUUUGUUAUAAUUCAUUGAUAGUCUAAAUAAUAGAGAAGCUUUAGUAGUACCGGUAAUUGCAAUCUUCCUUGUGGGAUCGACCCUUAAUACCCUAUACUCGCUCACGAUUCGUAUACUUGCGAUAAAUCGCGUGUGGGGUAUUUAGGAGUUUAUAAAUGUAAAACUUGAUUAGGAUGAGUUUAAUUGUAU